AUUGAACGCUGGCGGCAUGCCUUACACAUGCAAGUCGAACGGUAACAGGUCUUCGGAUGCUGACGAGUGGCGAACGGGUGAGUAAUACAUCGGAACGUGCCCGAUCGUGGGGGAUAACGAAGCGAAAGCUUUGCUAAUACCGCAUACGAUCUACGGAUGAAAGCAGGGGGCCGCAAGGCCUUGCGCGAACGGAGCGGCCGAUGGCAGAUUAGGUAGUUGGUGGGAUAAAAGCUUACCAAGCCGACGAUCUGUAGCUGGUCUGUGAGGACGACCAGCCACACUGGGACUGAGACACGGCCCAGACUCCUACGGGAGGCAGCAGUGGGGAAUUUUGGACAAUGGGCGCAAGCCUGAUCCAGCCAUGCCGCGUGCAGGAUGAAGGCCUUCGGGUUGUAAACUGCUUUUGUACGGAACGAAAAGACUCUGGUUAAUACCUGGGGUCCAUGACAGUACCGUAAGAAUAAGCACCGGCUAACUACGUGCCAGCAGCCGCCGUAACAC
rnacentral:rRNA from 1 species